rnacentral:misc_RNA from 1 species
GUAGGUGAACCUGCGGAGGGAUCAUUAUCGAAUGGCCCCUGUGCCUUCAACCCUUCAAAACCUGUGGAAGCGACUCGUGCUUCGGCGCUCAGGCGCCGCUUUUAUGCAGAAGUCUGUCUCGACGUCUGAAUCGAAUAUGGAAAUGAAAAACUUUCAACAAAGGAUCUCUUGGCUCUCGCAUCGAUGAAGAACGCAGCAUCUGACUGACUGAACUGUAU